rnacentral:rRNA from 1 species
AAUGCAUAGGAAUCUGCCCGAUAGUGGGGGAUAACCUGGGGAAACCCAGGCUAAUACCGCAUACGUCCUACGGGAGAAAGGGGGCUCCGGCUCCCGCUAUUGGAUGAGCCUAUGUCGGAUUAGCUAGUUGGUGAGGUAAAGGCUCACCAAGGCAACGAUCCGUAGCUGGUCUGAGAGGAUGAUCAGCCACAUCGGGACUGAGACACGGCCCGAACUCCUACGGGAGGCAGCAGUGGGGAAUAUUGGACAAUGGGCGCAAGCCUGAUCCAGCCAUGCCGCGUGUGUGAAGAAGGCCCUCGGGUUGUAAAGCACUUUCAGCGAGGAAGAACGCCUAGCGGUUAAUACCCGCUAGGAAAGACAUCACUCGCAGAAGAAGCACCGGCUAACUCCGUGCCAGCAGCCGCGGUAAUACGGAGGGUGCAAGCGUUAAUCGGAAUUACUGGGCGUAAAGCGCGCGUAGGUGGCUUAAUAAGCCGGUUGUGAAAGCCCCGGGCUCAACCUGGGAACGGCAUCCGGAACUGUCAAGCUAGAGUGCAGGAGAGGAAGGUAGAAUUCCCGGUGUAGCGGUGAAAUGCGUAGAGAUCGGGAGGAAUACCAGUG